GAAGGAGUGUUGGGUGGACUAUUGUGAGUAGGAGAAGGGGUUUUUGGAGGUGUAAUUGGUACAUAUGGUGGUUGAUUACUAGGGGAAGGAGCUUUUGGUGGAGUAUAAGGACCACUAGGGGGAUUAUAAGUAGGAGGAGUGUUGGGUGGACUACUGUGAGUAGGAGAAGGGGCUUUUGGAGGUGUAAUUGGUACAUAUGGUGGUUGGUUACUAGGGGAAGGAGAUUUUGGAGGAGUGUAAGGAACAUUAGGAGGAUUGUAAGUAGGAGAAUGUGCUUUUGGAGGAGUUGAUACAUAUGGUGGUUCAUUGCUAGGGGAAGGAGUUUUUGGGGGAGUGUAAGGAACAUUAGGAGGAUUGUGGAUAGGAGAAGGAGUUUUUGGUGGUGAAAUUGGUGCAUAUGGUGGUUGAUUGCUAGGAGAAUGAGCUUUGGGGGGUGUGUAUGGAACAUUAGGUGGAUUGUAAAUGGGAGAAGGAGUUUUAGGAGGUGUACUUUUUGGAGGUGUAUAAGGAGUGUUGGGAGGACUAUGAGUAGGAGAAGGUGUUUUUGGUGGUGUAAUUGGUACAUAAGUAGGAGGUGUAAUUUUGGGGGGUGUAUAAGGAGUAUUGGGAGGACUAUAAGUAGGAGAAGGUGAUUUUGGUGGUGUAAUUGGUACAUAAGGUGGUUGAUUGGGAGAUGGAGCUUUUGGAGGAUUGUGAAUGGGAGAAGGAGUUUUUGGAGGUGUAGGAACAUAGGGAGGUUGAUUGGUAGGAGGAGUACUUUUGGGGGGUGUAUAAGGAAUAUUGGGAGGACUAUAAUUAGGAGAUGUUUUUGGUGGUGUAAUUGGUACAUGUGGUGGUGGUUGAUUUGGAGAUGGAGCUUUUGGAGGUGUAUAAGGAACAUUAGGAGGAUUGUAAAUAGGUGAAGGAGUUUUUGGAGGUGUAGGAACAUAGGGAGGACUAUAACUAGGAGAAGGUGUUUUUGGAGGUGUUAUUGGAACAUAAGGAGAAGGAGUAUUUUUUCUCACAGCCAUCACCACAACAAUAAUUUUCUGACCCUUUUCACAAUUAUCAUCUUUUCCACUAAUGAAGUAAAAAGG
rnacentral:lncRNA from 1 species